rnacentral:sRNA from 1 species
GGUAACAAAGUGAGACGUCAUCUCUAAAAAGAUUUAAAAAGUUAGCCAGGUGUGGUGAUGCGUACCUGUAGUCCUAGCCACUUGGGAGUCUGAGGCAGGAGGAUUCCCCAAGCCCAAGAGGUCAAGGCUGUAGUAAGCUGUGUUCGUGCCACUGUACUCCAGCCUGGAGGACAGAGCAAGACCCUGUCAAAAAGCUGAAGCAGUAUGACCCUCAUAUUCUACCCUGCUUGGCACCUGAGCUGGGCGGGACACAGACCCAGAGGCCCCUGGCCUGCCCUGUGGACUUGGGGGUCUUCUCGUUUUCCUUGCAGGCUUGGAGUCCCGAUUUCAGAGUAAGUCUGGCUAUCUGAGAUACAGCUGUGAGAGCCGGAUCCGGAGUUACCUGAGGGAGGUGAGCUCCUACCCCUCCACGGUGGGUGCGGAGGCUCAGGAGGAAUUCCUGCGGGUCCUCGGCUCCAUGUGCCAGAAGCUCCGGUCUGUGCAGUACAAUGGCAGCUACUUCGACAGAGGAGCCAAGGGCGGCGGCCGUCUCUGCACACCGGAAGGCUGGUUCUCCUGCCAGGGUCCCUUUGACAUGGACAGCUGCUUAUCAAGACACUCCAUCAACCCCUACAGUAACAGGGAGAGCAGGAUCCU